GAUGAACGCUGGCGGCGUGCCUAAUACAUGCAAGUCGAGCGAACAGACGAGGAGCUUGCUCCUCUGACGUUAGCGGCGGACGUGUGAGUAACACGUGGAUAACCUACCUAUAAGACUGGGAUAACUUCGGGAAACCGGAUCUAAUACCGGAUAAUAUAUUGAACCGCAUGGUUCAAUAGUGAAAGACGGUUUUGCUGUCACUUAUAGAUGGAUCCGCGCCGCAUUAGCUAGUUGGUAAGGUAACAGCUUACCAAGGCAACGAUGCGUAGCCGACCUGAGAGGGUGAUCGGCCACACGGGAACUGAGCCACGGUCCAGACUACUAAGGGAGGCAGCAGUAGGGAAUCUUCCGCAAUGGGCGAAAGCCUGACGGAGCAACGCCGCGUGAGUGAUGAAGGUCUUCGGAUCGUAAAACUCUGUUAUUAGGGAAGAACAAAUGUGUAAGUAAAUAUGCACGUCUUGACGGUACCUAAUCAGAAAGCCACGGCUAACUACGUG
rnacentral:rRNA from 1 species